rnacentral:rRNA from 1 species
GCGUCAGUUACUUCGGUAACUUUCCGAAAGGGGCGGUAAUACCAGAUAAUAUCAUUUGUCGAUAGGCAUUUGAUCAAAGAUUUAUCGGCGCGGGAGCGGCCUGCCUCCUAUCAGCUUGUUGGUGGGGUAACGGCUCACCAAGGCAACGACGGGUAGCGGGACUGAGAGGUUGGCCCGCGACAUCGGGACUGAGACACUGCCCGGACCUCCACGGAGGGCUGCAGUAACGGAUAUUGCGCAAUGGGCGAAAGCCUGACGCAGCGACGCCGCGUGUAGGAGGAAGUCCCUCGGGAUGUAAACUACUGUCAGGGGUAAGAAAGUGCGCUUCGGCGUAUUGAUCUCACCCAGAGGAAGUCACGGCUAACUUCGUGCCAGCAGCCGCGGUAAGACGAAGGUGGCAAGCGUUGUUCGGUAUUACUGGGCUUAAAGCGUGUGUAGGCGGAAAAGUAAGCGUUUUGUGAAAGCCCCCGGCUUAACCGGGGAAUUGCGUGACGAACUGCUUUUCUUGAGGCAAGUAGGGGUGCAUGGAACUCUUGGUGGAGCGGUGGAAUGCGUAGAUAUCAAGAGGAACGCCAGUGGAGAAAUCGGUGCACUGGGCUUGUCCUGACGCUGAGACACGAAAGCGUGGGGAGCGAACGGGAUUAGAUACCCCGGUAGUCCACGCCGUAAACGAUGCCUACUAGGUUGUGGUGGUUCUGACACCAGCACAGCCGAAGCAAAAGUGCUAAGUAGGCCGCCUGGGGAGUACGGUCGCAAGGCUAAAACUCAAA